CCCCGUCGUUCUGGCCCCCCGGGCCCGUGUUCUAGCCACGAGGCGAUGCUGCUUCCCCUGGCCAGAGACCGGGAUGUCCUCCAAGUCGUCAGCAGGGAAGGCGAGUGGUUUCUUGGAUGGCAGGCGUUUGCCAUGGACAGAGGCGGCCCCGAUCCUGAAGCAGAGUCGGCCCGGUGCGCGUGUCUGAAGAUGAGUUGGGUGGCGUGCGUGACACUUUCUCCCGAUCUGCUCAUAUAGAUGACGGUGCCAAGUGUCUACAGGCGAGGGAUGGAAUCGGUCCUCUCUCCCGUGAAGCCAAGUUACCUUACGUUAACGGAGAUUAUGGUGACUCUGAAAUGUCUCCGUCCCGAUCUCUGCCAACGCAGAGGCCCCUGCAUGGAGGAUCACAGUCACGG